AAUAGAUACCCUGGUAGUCCACGCCGUAAACGAUGGAUGCUAGCUGUUAUGAGUAUCGACCCUUGUAGUAGCGAAGCUAACGCGUUAAGCAUCCCGCCUGUGGAGUACGAGCGCAAGCUUAAAACAUAAAGGAAUUGACGGGGACCCGCACAAGCGGUGGAGCGUGUUGUUUAAUUCGAUGAUAAGCGAAGAACCUUACCAAGGCUUGACAUCCCUGGAAUUUCUCCGAAAGGAGAGAGUGCCUUCGGGAAUCAGGUGACAGGUGAUGCAUGGCCGUCGUCAGCUCGUGUCGUGAGAUGUUUGGUUAAGUCCAUCAACGAGCGCAACCCUUGUAAAUAGUUGAAUUUUUCUAUUUAGACUGCCUCGGUAACGGGGAGGAAGGAGGGGAUGAUGUCAGGUCAGUAUUUCCCUUACGCCUUGGGCUACAAACACGCUACAAUGGCCGGUACAAAGGGCAGCCAACCCGCGAGGGGUAGCAAAUCCCAUCAAAACCGGUCUCAGUUCGGAUAGCAGGCUGAAAUUCGCCUGCUUGAAGCCGGAAUCGC
rnacentral:rRNA from 1 species